rnacentral:rRNA from 1 species
GGGUGCGAUCAUACCAGCACUAAAGCACCGGAUCCCAUCAGAACUCCGCAGUUAAGCGUGCUUGGGCGAGAGUAGUACUAGGAUGGGUGACCUCCUGGGAAGUCCUCGUGUUGCACUCCU